ACGGGUGUAGUUCAAUGGUAGAAUGCCGGUCUCCAACACCGUUGAUGAGGGUUCGAAUCCUUCCACCCGUGCAA
rnacentral:tRNA from 1 species